GAUGAACGCUGGCGGCGUGCCUAAUACAUGCAAGUCGAGCGAACAGACGAGGAUCUUGCUCCUCUGACGUUAGCGGCGGACGGGUGAGUAACACGUGUAUAACCUACCUUUAAGACUGGGAUAACUUCGGGAAACCGGAUCUAAUACCGGAUAAUAUAUUGAACCGCAUGGUUCAAUAGUUAAAGACGGUUUUGCUGUCACUUAUAGAUGUAUCCGCGCGGCAUUAGCUAGUUGGUAAGGUAACGGCUUACCAAGGCAACGAUGCGUAGCCGAACUGAGAGGGUGAUAGGCAAAACGGGAAGUGAGAAAGGGACAAAAGUCCAACGGGAGGAAGAAGUAGGAAAUCUUCAGAAAUGGGGGAAAGCUUGACGAAGAAACGCGGGGGGAGUGAUGAAGGUCUUCGGAUCGUAAAACUAUGUUAUUAGGGAAAAAAAAAGGAGUAAGAAACUAUGCAGGUAUGAAGGGAACAAAAGCAGAAAGCCACGGCUAACACGUG
rnacentral:rRNA from 1 species